GCUAACUUCGUGCCAGCAGCCGCGGUAAUACGAAGGGACCUAGCGUAAUUCGGAAUUACUGGGCGUAAAGCGCGCGUAGGCGGUUAAGUAAGUUAAUUGUGAAAGCCCAAAGCUCAACUUUGGAAUUGCAAUUAAAACUACUUAGCUAGAGUUUAUCAGAGGAAAGCGGAAUACAUAGUGUAGAGGUGAAAUUCGUAGAUAUUAUGUAGAACACCAGUUGCGAAGGCGGCUUUCUGGGGUAACACUGACGCUGAGGUGCGAAAGUAUGGGUAGCGAAGAGGAUUAGAUACCCUCGUAGUCCAUACUGUAAACGAUGAUUGUUAGAUGUUGGAAAUUUAUUUUCAGUAUCACAGCUAACGCGUUAAACAAUCCGCCUGGGGAGUACGACCGCAAGGUUAAAACUCAAAUGAAUUGACGGGGACCCGCACAAGCGGUGGAGCAUGUGGUUUAAUUCGAAGCUACGCGCAGAACCUUACCAACACUUGACAUGUCUGUCGCGGAAUCCAGAGAUGGAUUCUUUCGGUUCGGCCGGACAGAACACAGGUGCUGCAUGGCUGUCGUCAGCUCGUGUCGUGAGAUGUUGGGUUAAGUCCCGCAACGAGCGCAACCCCUACUUCUAGUUGCCAUCAGGUUAAGCUGGGCACUCUAGUAGGACUGCCUGUGAUAAGCAGGAGGAAGGUUGGGAUGACGUCAAGUCCUCAUGGCCCUUACGUGUUGGGCUACACACGUGCUACAAUGGCAGUGACAAUGAGAUGCUAAACGGCAACGUUAAGCUAAACUCAAAAACCUGCCUCAGUUCGGAUUGCACUCUGCAACUCGAGUGCAUGAAGCUGGA
rnacentral:rRNA from 1 species